ensembl:lncRNA
AGAAAACGCAGCACAGCCUUUCAGAACAAGAAGUCCUCUCCCAGAUUUACGUUUUCCAAACCAUUGACGUCUUGAGCAAGGCAUAAAUUCUCAUGAAAACGAAGCUAUUGCAGUUCCAGCAUCAGACAGCUAACCAGGUUUAUUCUUUAUACUCUCGCCACAUCUUGAUUUGGCUCGUUGUUCCUUUUUCCUAUGCAUAUACUUCUUUGAGAGUUUGAUCUAAAGAGGCAUAGAGCAUGGGAAAAUGGGGCGACUGAGGUACUCCGCCAUUCAUUCCAAACAGCACCAUUGAGGUGACUAUUGAAACGUGGAGAAAAUGGACAGACAAGCAAAUGAAAGGUGUCUUUGAAGAGGAACUGGAGAUUUUUAUUUUCCUGUUAACAUUUUAUUAUAUUUCUGUUCAAUUGCUUUUCUUUAGUCUAAAAAGCGAUGUAUCACAUCAGUUCUGUGAAAAAUAUUAUGGAACCCUGUAACUGAAUAUACUGCGUGCCAAAUAAAAACCUAAAUGUUUCACACACUAUUCAAAAGUUUGUGUUACCCUAUACCACAAAUUCUAACAAGGUUUGCAAAACUCCAUGCAUAGAGAAAGUAACACUACACACACUACCAGCCAUUUUACUUGCUUAUUAUUGUGCCAUAUUGUUCUAGAUGAAAUAAAUAUUUUAA